rnacentral:rRNA from 1 species
GGAUCAUUAUCGAGUGUUAAACUCCCAACCCUAUGUGAACAUAUAUCGUUGCCUCGGCGGGGAAACCUACCCUGUAGGGCAAACCGCCGGAGGAUUUUCAACUCUUGUUUUUUGUGGCAUCUGAGCUUAUAACUUAAUACGUUAAAACUUUCAACAACGGAUCUCUUGGUUCUGGCAUCGAUGAAGAACGCAGCGAAAUGCGAUAAGUAAUGUGAAUUGCAGAAUUCAGUGAAUCAUCGAAUCUUUGAACGCACAUUGCGCCCAUUAGUUAUUCUAGUGGGCAUGCCUGUUCGAGCGUCAUUUCAACCCUCAAGCCCUGUUGCUUGGUGUUGGGAGCCUGCCGCGAGGCAGCUCCUCAAAGUGAGCUGGCAGAGUUGUGGUAUACUCUAAGCGUAGUAAAUCUUCUCGCUUCAGGGGCUGCUACGGCAAUAGCCAUAAACCUUUAUUUUCUAGUGGUUGACCUCGGAUCAGGUAGGAAUACCCGCUGAACUUAAGCAUAUCAAUAAGCGGAGGAAAAGAAACCAACAGGGAUUGCCCUAGUAACGGCGAGUGAAGCGGCAACAGCUCAAAUUUGAAAUCUGGCCUUCGGGUCCGAAUUGUAAUUUGUAGAGGAUGCAUUUGGCGCGGUGCCUUCUGAGUUCCCUGGAACGGGACGCCUUAGAGGGUGAGAGCCCCGUACAGUUGGACGCCUAGCCUUUGUAAUGCUCCUUCGACGAGUCGAGUAGUUUGGGAAUGCUGCUCUAAAUGGGAGGUAAAUUUCUUCUAAAGCUAAAUACCGGCCAGAGACCGAUAGCGCACAAGUAGAGUGAUCGAAAGAUGAAAAGCACUUUGAAAAGAGGGUUAAAUAGCACGUGAAAUUGUUGAAAGGGAAGCGUUUGCGACCAGACUUUUUCCUGGCGGAUCAUCCGGUGUUCUCACCGGUGCACUUCGCCUGGUUUAGGCCAGCGUCGAUUUUUGGAGGGGGAUAAAGGCUUAGGGAACGUAGCUCCUCCGGGAGUGUUAUAGCCCUUUGCGUAAUACCCCUCCGGGGAUCGAGGU